GUAGGUGAACCUGCGGAAGGAUCAUUAACACGUGAUACACGUCCUCCAAUAUCAACCAACCUCGACGAACCUGUGUCUCAAAUCUUUUGGGUUACUUCUUGUGUUCUUCCCCCUCGGGGGAGGGUAUCAAGACUUAUCCUUUGCUGUCAGCCCUCUCAUGGAACUUCGUGUGUCUGUGAUGGUUGAUGGACAAGGGACCUUGAGUGUGAAAGAAUGUAGGUGAUUAGUUUAACAGCUGGUCGGAGUGUGC
rnacentral:misc_RNA from 1 species